CUAUGAUUGAAUAGGAAACCAAAUCAUGGCGGAAGGAG
rfam:Firmicutes bacterium CAG:313 genomic scaffold, scf14